rnacentral:misc_RNA from 1 species
GUCAGUGCCAGACUCGGCCAAGAAGCGGAAGCGGAAGCGCAAAAAGAAGUCAAGUGAAACAUAAACUAACCCGGAUUUAUCUGUUCAAAAUGUGUUCCUGUCUAUAUUUAGAAAAUCGCGCGUCAUGAAAAAAAGUGAAAUGUGUUGACUGAAUGAUAUGUAUAAAUUAUUUGUUGAAGGCUUAGAAAAAAUAAAAUUGUCAUUGU